AGCGAACGCUGGCGGCAGGCCUAACACAUGCAAGUCGAACGGACUCUUCGGAGUUAGUGGCGGACGGGUGAGUAACACGUGGGAACGUGCCUUUAGGUUCGGAAUAGCUCCUGGAAACGGGUGGUAAUGCCGAAUGUGCCCUUCGGGGAAGGAUUUAUCGCCUUUAGAGCGGCCCGCGUCUGAUUAGCUAGUUGGUGAGG
rnacentral:rRNA from 1 species